GGGCAGCGGUCCCCACUCAUCCCAUUAAAGCAGACUGGCUCAGGGGCUGGCAGAGGAUGCUGCAGUGGCUCAGCGUUGAUGUAUGGAGGAUGUAAAUGAUGGCGGUGACCUCCCACGGUGUCUCUGCUCUCACAUUCCACUGGCUGUGUCAGAAGUCCUGUGAGCUGUAGAAAAGCCACAGAGGAUUUCAGGUAGGAGGCAGAUGCAGACAUGAGAUAUGUCAGCUCCAAUACAACACAAAGAAGACCAAACACAACAAACUACCAACACAAAUUUGUGUCUUGUCCUCGACAACAAGAACAGAAAUGGAGGGCUGAUUCCGCACUUGGCCGUAGGAAGGAGGGGUGAGCGAAACUUGAGGAUGUUUACUUUACAACUUGGCGAGCACUCUGACAACAUGGAACAAGCACGUGGUUUUGUUCUUUUGUUCUUGUUCUUUUGUGUUCGCACUUCACACAGCCUAUGACCACAGUCUUCUCAAGCCCGCAGUCACAACUGAUGUGAGCCAAUCAAGACAUAUAAUUCAUUGCGCAACUACAAGAAAGCAAAAGUUCACCCCUUCGGUCUGUCAUGUCUCUGACGCACACAUACACACUGUAUAUGUAUGCAUGGCUUUUUGCGCAGCCCUUUGUGAUUGCCACUAAGUUUCUAAUUGUUCUGAUCAUAAAGAAAUACCUUUCAAGAAGCUUCUGUUUCAGAUCCAGAGCCUGAUUAAAGAAUGCAUGAUACUUCAGUGACAAGACUAUAUUAUUAAUUCAUUGCAAACAGUGGAAUUUGGGUGUGUUACUUUGAAAAAUGUUCAAAACUGGCGGCCUGUAAUAAAAGCACUGA